rnacentral:rRNA from 1 species
UGAGUAAUGUCUGGGAAACUGCCCGAUGGAGGGGGAUAACUACUGGAAACGGUAGCUAAUACCGCAUAACGUCGCAAGACCAAAGAGGGGGACCUUCGGGCCUCUUGCCAUCGGAUGUGCCCAGAUGGGAUUAGCUAGUAGGUGGGGUAACGGCUCACCUAGGCGACGAUCCCUAGCUGGUCUGAGAGGAUGACCAGCCACACUGGAACUGAGACACGGUCCAGACUCCUACGGGAGGCAGCAGUGGGGAAUAUUGCACAAUGGGCGCAAGCCUGAUGCAGCCAUGCCGCGUGUAUGAAGAAGGCCUUCGGGUUGUAAAGUACUU